rnacentral:rRNA from 1 species
UACGUAGGGUGCGAGCGUUGUCCGGAAUUACUGGGCGUAAAGAGCUCGUAGGUGGCUUGUCGCGUUGCCUGUGAAAACCUGGGGCUCAACCCCGGGCGUGCAGGCGAUACGGGCAGGCUCGAGUACUGCAGGGGAGACUGGAAUUCCUGGUGUAGCGGUGAAAUGCGCAGAUAUCAGGAGGAACACCGGUGGCGAAGGCGGGUCUCUGGGCAGUAACUGACGCUGAGGAGCGAAAGCGUGGGGAGCGAACAGG